rnacentral:tRNA from 1 species
CGAGAUGUAGCACAGCUUGGUAGUGCAUCUGGUUUGGGACCAGAGGGUCGCAAGUUCGAAUCUUGUCAUCUCGACCA